UACAGAGGGUGCGAGCGUUAAUCGGAAUUACUGGGCGUAAAGCGCGCGUAGGCGGCUUUGCAAGUCGGGUGUGAAAUCCCCAGGCUUAACCUGGGAACUGCAUUCGAGACUGCAUUGCUAGAGUAUGGGAGAGGGUAGUGGAAUUCCCGGUGUAGUGGUGAAAUGCGUAGAUAUCGGGAGGAACACCAGUGGCGAAGGCGACUACCUGGCCUGUUCUUGACGCUGAGGCGCGAAAGCUGGGGGAGCAAACGGG
rnacentral:rRNA from 1 species